CAAUCGUUGUUAAGGAUGCAUUCUGGUCGACAACCUAUAUAAGGAUCUCCUUGGUAGUCUGAGAGACAAGUGCAGCUACCAUCUGUGCAUAUCGCGUUUGGACCGCAAGGGGAGGGGUUGCAAGGAUCUACAGAUAGCUGAUAAUCCACAGGAACCUGGACAAGGAUCUCUACAUUUCUCGUUUAUGCAAGCCUGAUUACUAGCACAUUCAGAAUUGAUAGUACAUUCGGGUCUACAAUUUGGUGGACUACCGAUAUAGGAUUUAAGACAAGAACAGGAUGGCGCACCACCAAUAUCGCGACAUUCUGCGUAUGGUCCACAGGGUGAAGGUACACAGGGAUUUUGAACAACCGGACCAGGGAAACAUCUACUGAAAGGAUCUCCAGUGAAUCCUUGCUUGCAACUACAUAUGGGACUAUGAUUGAGUACCAUACAAUUAGUAUUCGAUCCACAAGGCUGAGGGCAAGGAUUUAUACAUUUAUUGUUCAUGCAAGCUCUGUUCAAUGGACAUUCUGAACUCAUUACACAUUCUGGUCGACAUCCUGGAGGACUUCCAAUGUAUUCUGGUAGACAAGUACAGACAGGUUGAUUGUUCAUGACGCGACACUGACUGUUUGGUCCACAGGGGGAUGGAUUGCAAGGCUCUCUUAGAAUUAGUUCUAAUUUCAAAAGAUUCGAAGAUAAGAUUUAAUUUCUUUUUUUUAAUUUGAAUGUUUAUAUUUGAAUUGAUAUGUGAUAUGAAAAUUUGUAAUUACCCGUUUGAACAAUGGGAUUGCAAUAUCUAAAAGGAUCACCAGUGAAUCCAGGUAUACAAGUACAUGCUGGUGAAUGAUUGAUCACUUGACAAAUUGCAUUUUGACCACAAGUUCCUGGACAAGGAUCUUGGCAUUUAGAACGUAUGCAAGCCAUAUUCGAGACACAAUCAGAGUUGACAGUACACUCUGGACGACAUCCUUCGUAAGGAUUUCCGAUAUAGUCUGAUAAACAUGUACAAGAACCUGCUCCGGAUUGCUCUUUGCAUAUCGCGUUUGCUCCACAGGGUGACGGUGUACAGGGUGACUCGUUUUCGAUAAGAAUGGCUACGAUAAUAUGCGUUGCAUUCACAUUGAUUCUAAUAAUUUAAAUAGUAUUUUUAACCGUAUAUGAUGAACAAUAAAUGCUUACGUUUUUGAAUCACACACUGAGUGAAAGGAUCUCCGGUAUAUCCAUUCAAGCAGACACACAUAGGAGUGUGGCUAACAACACGACAGUCUGUGUUCGAUCCACAAGCACCAGGACAUGGAUCUCGACAUUUUUGUUCAUGCAAGCAAGGUGGGAAGCACACUCGCUGUUACUAACACAUUCAGGUUUACAAUUCGGUGGUGAUCCAAUAAAUUCUGGCAAACACGUGCAAGAAGGUGAAUCGUUCACCACGCGACAUUGAGCGUUUGGUCCACAAGGAGAUGGUUGACAAGGGUUGACGGACUCAGGAGGUGUUUCAACUAAUAAAUAAAAUUUUCAAUUUAAGACUAGACUAAUAUUCAACAAAAAGAUUAAUUCAUCGUGAAUAUUCCUUACUUAUAAGAUCACAUCUGGUAAAAGGAUCUCCAGAGUACCUUGGAAGACAGCUACAAAUAGGAUUAUGAUUCACCACCUGACAUUGGGUUCUCAAACCACAAGUACCAGUACAAGGGUCGAUACAUUUCUGAUUAUUACAAGCCAGAUUUCGUGGACAGUCUGAACUGACCACGCACUCUGGUCUGCAAGAUGGCGGAGCUCCCAGAUAUCCCUGAACGCAAGAACAAAUCGCUUGUUGAUUCACAACACGACACUGACUAUUGGGUCCGCAAGGAGAUGGUCUACAAAGAUCUACUGCUCCAAGUGGUUCUAAGAAGAAAUAUCGAAUUAUAUAAAUCGAAAAAAGGAUUAAAAUGAAAUUAAUUAAAAUAGAAUGUAUUGGGAUAUGCACCUUUCAAAACGAUACAUAGGACGAAAGCAUUUCCAGACAUUCCACUAGGACAACUGCACAUAGGAACAUGGUUGUAUACAUUGCAAAUUGCAUUUUGUCCACAAGUGCCUAUACAAGGAUCGAUACAUUUGUUGCGAACACAAGCUUUAUUCUGAGGACAAUCGUUAUUUAACACGCAUUCAGGGCGACAGAGUUCGUACGGGUUUCCACGAUACUCGGGAAGGCAAGUGCAGAUACCAUUAUUGCAUUCUGCGUUCGGGCCACAAGAUAAAUUAAAAUAUCAAAAAAUAAAUAGAAAAAAAUAUAUGAAAAUACGUUCUCUGAAUUGUGAAAGAAAAAUCUUACGUUCAGGUGGUAAUGGUUGACAGCUGUUAAAUGGAUCACCGGUGAAAUCUUCGGGACAAGAGCACGCAGGGGUAUGAUGGAUUACGUUGCAAAUAGCGCCGAAUCCGCAAGAGCCAAGACAUGGAUCACUGCAUUUUUCGUUCAUGCAUGCUCGAUUGCUAGGACAAUCGGGAUUUAUGGUGCACUCUGGUCUACAAUUCGGUGGACUGCCCAUAUAAUUUGGCAAACAGGAACAAGAAGGAGAACCUCCGAUAUCACGGCACUCUGAAUUCGGGCCACAAGGGGAUGGUACACAAGGGUUUUCAAUUAAGGUUGGUGAUGGUUCUGAAAAGAAUUUUUCUUAUGUUUCUUUUGGUUUAGUAAUCACUUUUUCAUCCCCUGUUAAGUAUUAGAGAAUCUUCUACUUGAGCAAUUAAUUUGGGGUAGUUUUAAUCUGGUUAUAUAUCUUUCAUUUAAGAUAUGGAUGAGGUUAAUCAGAUAAGUUAAGCAGAUAAAAUAAAGAUUCUGAAAUCUGAAACUAUUUCUUCUUUAAAUGAAAAUUAAUAUUGCUUUCAUUUUCAUUUAAUGAAGAUAGACAGUUUUAGUUAUCUGAAUCAGUCUAUCGAUCCAUACGUUAAUAAUAAAAGCAGUCUCUCUAAUAAUUUCUUAAUCACGAAAAUUCGUCUUACUUGGCGUGGGGAAACAUCUGGUGAAGGGAUCUCCGGUGAAAUCCAGUUUGCAAGCGCAAAUAGGGCUGUGGUUCACGAUUCUGCAAUCCGCAUUAGUACCACAGCGAUUAGGACAAGGGUCUGUACAUUUCUGAUUGACGCAAGCUUUGUUCAAAGGACAUUCUGAGCUAACUACGCAUUCCGGUCGACAUCCAGGGGGACUGCCUACGUAGUCAGAUAGGCAAGAGCACACAGCUUGGUCAUUAUUCACGCGGCACAAACUAUUGGGUCCACAGGGCGAGGGGUUACAAGGAUUUUUUUGUA